AUUGGCCAUUCCACAAGCCGCCCCGAUUCCCGACAUGGACAUAUUCAUGUUCAUGCCCGUCAUGUUCAUACCGGACAUAUUCAUGCCGGCCAUGUUCAUGUUGACGGAUGGUGCGGUAGAACUCAUAAGACGGCUCACUGUGGAAAGGGUGUAAUCAGUAGCGAAUCGCGGAUCUCCGCUGCUGGUGCUGUACCAAGGCGCGGUCGGAGCGCGGACGUCUCCUGACACUCCAUAGGCCGAAGCGGAGAAUUCCGACGCUCCAUUAGUGUACUGCGAUCCGCUCGUUGUCGUAAAAGCCGACGUCGUUGCCGGAAUGUGACCACCGCCCGAAUGCGGCGGUGGUGGAUGAGAAGAAUGCAUUCCUAACUGAUGCACGCCAAAUGGAGUUGAAACUGGCACGCUCAUUGAUUUGUUGUUAUUAGUGCUGUCCGUUAAAUUGGUUAUAGAAUUUAACAACAGGUAAGAUUCUGUUCCAGUGCUGUUGGGUUGAUGAAGCUGUUGCAGGUCCGAAUUGGGCGUAUCUUCACCGAUGGAAUAAGGUUUUAAUGGACGAGGAGGCAGAGCUACCGUUUCAUCCAGUGGACUCAAAAUGUCAGUGACUGAGAAAUUUGUUCGGUACUUGGGACUCACGGACAUGACAUUGGCGUUGGGAUUUCAAAAUUUGCUCCAGUGCGGUGCAAUGUUGAGUUUACUGCUAAACACACUUGUGACGGUAAUGGAGUUUACGGAAAUGCCACCAAACUAUCGACAAUGUUAAAGAUUGUGGCUCAAUCGGCGGCGUAGAUAACGAUGCGAAUGGAUUGAGAAAUGAAAACACUCUGCUGGAGGCGAGAAGGAGUGCGUGGCUAGCUAACCGGAGUGGCUCUCUCGGCCGAAAUCAAGGGCGAUUAUGGAAGAUGAGUGAUGCUGAUGAAGUCGAGAAUCUCUUGAGCAAGGCCAAGGAUGUUUCUGCCAAUCCCUCAUCAAUCGACACGGUCGUUCACCGACACACGCGAACCUGAUUACCAAGAGACACUCGAACGCAAAGUGUCAAAAGGGCUAUAGCUCUUAGGCCGGCCAAGGGAGAGAAAAACAACACACGGUAGCGGUGACGAGAGGCCGAUGAAGAAAUCGCUCGAAGAGUUGAGGGCGCUAGAGAACCGAUGGUGAAGGUGGUCAAAAACGGUGAGAAGACGACGAGAAGUAGAGAUGAGAGCGCGUGAGAGUCUGGAGAACGAUGAAAGAGAGAGAGAGUUUUGCUUGCUUAAUGUUGAUCAACAAGCCUGAAGAGGAUGAUGGGAUCACAGGUCAGUUCAAUCACUUGUGUCGCACUCACCCAGCAGCAGCCACUUCCUCAAAUGCCUCUCCAAGAGCUCCUCGGCAAAUCUUUGAAGCAUGGCACUUCACCCUAUACCAAGCCCAAGACCCCGGCGACGACCAAGGGCGUAUACUUCAACAGCCACUCCAUUGGGCCCUCUCCACGUCCAACCAAUUCACGCGCAACUGGCCCCGAUCCCCCCUCCACGAUGCAUCCAUUGGUUAUCCGCUCUGUUGAAGGGGAGGAGCUAGAUUCCGGUGAGGCCGCCAAUCGCGCCCCUUUGCUUCCGCGCUGUCUCUUUUCUCUUCUCUUUUACCCACCAUGUAUAAUUUGCGUUUUUGGCUCUAGCGUCGACUCACGCAAGUUUUCGUGUAACAGCAACUUCGAUGUGUUUUUUUUCUCUCUUUUUUCACAUAUCCCCAAUAUCACGAAGUCAGUAUUUUUGAAGGAUGUCAAUACUUUCCAUCGACAUCGCAUUCAUUCUCUGGUCAGAAUUGCACUCGAAAACCUGACAACUCACCAAAAAAUUGCAUAAUGUCGCCUUCUUUUUGCACCAACAGUUCUACCGGCGGAAUUCUUUUUUUAUUUACUGCAUCCGGAAGAAUCAAUCGCAAUGCAAGAACUUCGCUAGGAGAACUACCGUGCCACGAACAUAUUCACUUUUACGCGUACAGCCUGACAUUAGGCUACUGUUUUUGAAUCAGCGAAUCUCUUUCGAGGACGGCUAGCGUGCGACUGGGUGCCCAAGAAUCCAUCUUCCUUCUAGGCGCUGUGUCCAGUAAAGAAAUCAGUAGCACCCAAAUGAGAGGUUAAGAAGAUCGCAGGGCUGGUUUUUAAUUAGCAAGCUGGCAUUGAACUCCGGCCUUCUGCCGACGCGAAACAAACAAGGAUAGUGAGAGAGAAUGAGAGAGACUUGAUGAUGUUGACUCGCAAGAAACUCCAGUGACCGGUCGAGUAGAAAACACAAACGGAGCUAAUUGCUUCUAAAGAACGGGCGAACAACAUCGAACGAGACAGCUAGGGACGAAGUCUUCCAACUACGGUUGCUAGAAAAGCUUCCUUUUUUAGCUUAGUCGUUCUUAAAUGACUGUCCCAGUGAUCCCAAUAAAGUCGAAAAAUUAUUGAAAUUAACACAACUAGACCAAAACAGUAGUGUAAACCGAUUUACAACCGACUGGUAAAAAAUUAAGGCACACGACAAACCUUUCUGAAGCCAAACUAGUGAAUUUUUAUUCAAAUCCGAGACACCCAAGAUAUACCCCACAACCAGGAAUGACAAACACAAAAAGAAGAACAACUCCAUUAACAAGGCUCAGAA